rnacentral:lncRNA from 1 species
AUGGAGAACAUGGCGGAGGAGGAGCUCCUACCCCUGGAGAAGGAGGAGGUGGCCCAGUUCCUGACCCCGGCCCCGGACUCGGCUCGGGUCCCAGCUCCGGCCCCAGAUUCGACUCCGACUCCGACCUCGGCUUCAGCCCCAGCCCUUGCCCAGGCUCUGGCCCUGUCCCCGUCCCUAGCCUCUGCCCCUGAGGAGGCUGAAAGCAAGAGACACAUCUCAAUUCAAAGGCAGCUUGCUGAUCUAGAGAAGUUAGCUUUUGUAACUGAAGGGGAUUUUGACUCUGCCAAUUCACUGAACUCUGAUAAUCUUGUUCCAGGUAUUUAUGUUCCUCCCUUAAUUUCUGAUGAGUUAUCUCUUAGCUCAUAAAAAAUGUUUGCUGAGAAUAGACUUGUUUAUUUCUAUUGAACUAGAAGAGUAGGAAAAAACUCUUCUUUUAAAUCCAGAAAACUGAUCACCUUCUAUGUGCAAAAGUGGUAUGGUACAAGUUAAGACUCAAAUUACAAUCUCGCAGAAAUUUCAGAGCUAUCUAUUCUUUAGUUAGGUAUUAUAUUACGUACAAGUAAGAGAUCUCCCAAACAGUGUUUUAAAUAACAUGGAAGUUAAAAGUAUUUUAUGUAAAAGUCUCAAGACAGGCAAAUUAUGAUGUUACCAGUGUCUCACACUUCUCUUUCUCUUUUUUUUUCUUUUUUUUUUUUUUGUACCGAGGAUUGAACUCAGGUCCUUGCACUUGCAAGGCAGGCGGCAAAAUCACUGAGCUAAAUCCCCGGCCCACACGCUUCUC